UGCGGGGUCGCUGGGUGCUGCACACCUUGGGAGCACAAGGGCUCUGCGCACAGCUGAGUGCUGUGUGCAGCUCAAGGGCUGAGAGAAACCCACCUUUAACGCUCUUCUAAAACAAAAAGCUCCAGAUCACAUCACUAGGGAGUUCCCUUUCUCAUCAGCCACCCUUUGCAAAGCUCCCCUGCCACCUCUGUGAGGAGGGAGGGGACCAGGUGCUGCACGGAGGAUGUUACAGAAGAUGUGAAAGCCACACUGCAGUGGGACCAAACUGUCCCUGCCCAGCAGAGGUUUGCAUGCAGCAGCUGAGGCCAUCCAGCCCAAAGCCCUGUGCUGCUGAAACACCCACCAGGCUCUGAGUUAGAAGUAGCUCUCAGGAAUGCUUUGAAGUGGCUCAAACCAGAAGAGAUCACACAAGUACAAGAGAUGGAGAGAAGAAGCAGAAAGUGCCAUCUCAGCUCUCCAGAGGCGGUGGGGAGCAGAGGAUGCUCCUGCAGCACCAAUGUCCAGCAGUCAGCUGGGAAUGCCCCGGAGAAAAGGCCUCAUGUCUCCCUGAGGCUGCCAUGCUGGACGAGGGCAAGCUGUGCCAUGCCAUGCAGGGCAGGAGGAUGGAGAUCCACCGUCACGUUGCAGCUCACCAGGACUGCCAGUUUUGGCACAGACACCCCCUCUUUGAUCCUGCCGGUCCUGCUCAUGCAUGCAGAGGGCAAGCCUUGCAGCUUUUGACAAGAGCCCGUCUGGCAGUGCUACAGCUCCCGGGGCAUUUAAGCACAUGCUGAAACGGACGUCUGUGACUAAUCCCUAUUCCACAUGUGCUGAUGCCUCCAUACAGCGGAACGUUGAAGUCACUGCUCCAGGAAGGCAUCCUGAGGGUGGCUUUCUCCUCCCAUCAAUGCUAGAGGAAAAUCUGCAAACCACUGUUUAGAUAAGUACAUCUGGGAGCUGAGACAGGAUAUGAGGGCUGAGAAGAUGAACUGGAAUAGCAAAUUGAGCCCAGAGGGAGCAACUGUGAGUGACAGAGAAACCAAGAAGACAGGAGCAGAUGUAAGCCCUGAAUCAAGCGUGGCCAGAGCGGGGAGUUGAGGAGGCAAAUGGGCUUCUCGCGGAGACAAGCUGAUUGCAGCAAGCAAGAGAGACACCAGUCAAUAUCCCAGAGAAAACAAGGGAUAAGGCACAUGUCUCAGAGAAGCAAAUGUGAAGGAAGAUUUCAAUCACAGCAAAACAUCUGCUAAGAAAGAUGAACAUCCAUGAAGUCCAAGGAACUGCAGUUGUGAAGACAGGUGCUUCCCACAGGGGUCUGGACUGUGGAGCAGCACAGGGGCUGGGAGGGUAGGCAGACGCAGCAAAAAGGGGCAUUGAAAUUAAAAAAUCAGAAAACGGCCAUCCCAGUUCCCUUUCAGGUAUUUUACAUGAGAAGAGUAACAUUUUCAACUCUACAGAGACAGUCUCUGUCCCUGAGCAGCCCUGACUGGUGUCACGCACAUGCAAGCAGAGCACUGAGAUUUCUGUUACUGCUUCCCCGAGGCUGGAAAACACCUUUUUCAAGAAAGAAACCCUCCCACCUGCUUCCUUCUGAAUCAGAAACAGUUUCAGAAACAUUAAGCUGCAAUUAGGAGUGUAAAUGUAGUUACGAGCACAUAUAAUCCAUAAAUCUCCACAUCCAAUAAAAAAUAAUAGCUAAGGAGAGCACGAAAGAGCCGCUAAUUACCAAAGCUGUAUUUCAAACUCCAUUCAUGCUUUCUGUUGCCCUGUGUUAGACCCCUUGAAUUGUGAUGGGGCUUUGUAGUUAUUCUUUCUGAGUCCAUUAUUCAGUAAGUAAUUAAUCUUCUAUUUUAUGUUGUGUGGGUACAUAUAUAUAUAGAGAGAGAGAGACACAGCUCUCUCCCUGCAAUUAUUAAC